rnacentral:siRNA from 1 species
AGGGAAUGGCGAGUCAGCAUGUC